GAUGUGGCUUUGUUGGACGAAGUGUGUCACUGGGGGCAGGCUUUGAGGUUUCAGAAGCUCAAGCCAAGCCCAGGGUCACUCUCUCUUCCUGCUGCCUUCAGACCU
ensembl:miRNA